UACGGGGGGAGCGAGCGUUGUUCGGAUUUACUGGGCGGAAAGGGCGCGUAGGCGGUCGUGACAAGUCACUUGUGAAAUCUCCGGGCUUAACUCGGAAAGGUCAAGUGAUACUGUCGGACUAGAGUACAGAAGGGGCAACUGGAAUUCUCGGUGUAGCGGUGAAAUGCGUAGAUAUCGAGAGGAACACCUGCGGCGAAGGCGGGUUGCUGGGCUGAUACUGACGCUGAGGCGCGAAAGCUAGGGGAGCGAACGGG
rnacentral:rRNA from 1 species